rnacentral:snRNA from 1 species
AAGCAAGUUCAGUGCUUGUUUCAGCAGCUAGAAUGAUACAGAGAAGAUUAGCAUGGCUCCUGCGCAAGGAUGACAUGCAAAUUCGUGAAGCGUUCCAUAUUAUU